UACGUAGGGUGCAAGCGUUAAUCGGAAUUACUGGGCGUAAAGCGUGCGCAGGCGGUGCUGUAAGACAGUUGUGAAAUCCCCGGGCUCAACCUGGGAACUGCAUCUGUGACUGCAUCGCUGGAGUACGGUAGAGGGGGAUGGAAUUCCGCGUGUAGCAGUGAAAUGCGUAGAUAUGCGGAGGAACACCGAUGGCGAAGGCAAUCCCCUGGACCUGUACUGACGCUCAUGCACGAAAGCGUGGGGAGCAAACAGG
rnacentral:rRNA from 1 species